rnacentral:ncRNA from 2 species
GGCCGGGUACAGUGUCCCGGUCGUCAUCACUCACCCGUUCAGGGGAAAGCCGGUGCAAUUCCGGCGCUGACCCGCAACCGUGAACCGGUCCCCGCGUCCCCGCCCCCGUGGCGGACGGUCCGAGGCCGGUGAGCCGGACCGCCCUGGACGGACGUGACCGG